GUCCCUUCAGGAACAUUCGAUAAAAAUUGAAGGAUACAGAGAAAAUUAGCAUAGUUCUUGUGCAAAGAUAACAUCGCACAAAUUGAGAAAUGAUCCAAACACAA